GGGGAUGAAGGUUGAAUGGAUGCUGAAGGGUUUCCACACACUGCACCAGGUUGCAGAGUGGAAGGUGGUGGGUCCUUGACAGUGGAGACAAGGGGUACAGGGGGCCUAGUGGGAGUAAUGGGACACUGGCUGGUGGAUGGUGGAGGUGGUACAGGGGGCCUAGUGGUAGUAAUGGGGCACUGGCUGGUGGAUGGUGGUUUCACAAAACUGAGGUUUAGGGGUGCCGGCGACCUAGUGGGACAUGGAAUAGGAGGUUGGAGAAGCUUUGCAGCACAAGCUGGGCCACUGAAGAGAGCUGUUUGGAGAGAAGAUUGUAGAUGUGGUCAGUGUCACUCAAGAAUUAUUUCCUGUAUAUUCUUGUUCAUUAAGCAAAUGUGUACCUUUUGUUGUUUCAACCACUGAUACUUUCUCCAUGACAGAUGAAAGGAACAUUUGAUCUGGGGGAAUAAAUGAUAAAUAAAACACUUACACAAA